UACGUAGGGUGCAAGCGUUAAUCGGAAUUACUGGGCGUAAAGCGUGCGCAGGCGGUUUUGUAAGUCUGAUGUGAAAUCCCCGGGCUCAACCUGGGAAUUGCAUUGGAGACUGCAAGGCUAGAAUCUGGCAGAGGGGGGUAGAAUUCCACGUGUAGCAGUGAAAUGCGUAGAGAUGUGGAGGAACACCGAUGGCGAAGGCAGGUCUCUGGGCUGACACUGACGCUCAUGCACGAAAGCGUGGGGAGCAAACAGG
rnacentral:rRNA from 1 species